AAGAACAGACAGCACAUGCGAGGAAGUUCCUGCAGGGUCGAAUUGGGAACACAUGAGAUGGAUGGUCCGCUGAGCUCUGAGCUCGAGCUCGGCCAUGUGUUCUCAGGUCGCCCCUGUUGGGUCUUCCGUGCCAUGGAUUGAUGAUUGCCU